ensembl:lncRNA
CUUCUGCUCACCGUGUGGACUCUCCGCACUUGUCAGUCACAGCCUGCAUGUGUGAGGGAGAGGACACCGUUUGGUUGCUUUGCAAGUCCACAGAGAGACAGAGGGAGAGAGAGGAGAGACACUUUGUAGCUGCAAUAUUUUACUCUUUUGCACUAUCCUGUCCUCGUCGGAUGCGCUCGAACCGUCAGGCAGUGAAUGAAACGAGAAAAAUCCGAGGCAGGAAUAGAGAAUUGCUGGAGAACACUGACUGUGGUGGAGUGGAGUUAGCCUGAUGUGCAAGAAAAUGACGGCAUCGUCAGACCUAAAGUUCGUGUUAAGUCACAAUGAAGACAAAAAGCCACCGGACAGAAUGAAGAGCAACAGUCAGCCUGCAGAUGGAAACAAGGGUGGGUGGUUGGAAGGCUGAAUAAAGGCUGGUAGAUGACUGAACUCAGAGACCCGGCACAGCUCAUCAUCAUUGCCAUGGGCUCUCAUCUUCUGCCUCUUCCUCCUGUGGCUCGUACCUCCAUCCAGGGGUCCAGCAGAGCCAGCGAAGCCCAGGCGGGGAGCUAGUGAGUGGGCUGGGAAGGAUGGAGAAGGUCCCCAAAGGCUAGAAUCACCUCUGGAGCUACCGGCAUGCAGGAGAAAUCAAUAUGAAACACAGAACCUUCACAGCUCUGAGUGGGGUUUCCUGUGUUUUAAGUGUGUGGCCUAGGGGCCCGCAGACCUCCAAAGGACAGGCCCUGCGUGGCUCUCUCAGCUGCAGUCCUGGCUCCUCAGACUGGACCUCAGUCCGGAUCUCCACUGGCUGUGUGUGGUUCUGCUGAAGGGGAUUUCUCCCCAAAUAAUACCCAAUACCCAGAUUGUUGAAAGACUGCCAAGAGGGAUCCUCCUUUCUCUUGAUUUUUUUUUCUCCAUCAUCAGAUUGACAUACCCCCCUCCACCCCACCUUCUGCCUCCGGCUGUUUAAAAACCAGUUUGGGAGUUCUGCUUUUGACUCACUCUCCAUCCUAAGCUCACCCGUUGUUUAUUCCCCAACUAGUUUUUACAUUUGACAAAGAGACAGUGCGAUCUUUAUUUUCUCUUCCGCUCUUGGCUUGCCGUUACUAUGGUGAGCUGUAGACACGUGUCUGUUCAAACCAGAAAUACUGGCACACGAAGUAUGAACCUCUUUUUUUUCCCUCCACGAUGCCUAUUAUUAUUAUUCAAUUUCAGACUGUUUUUUUAAAAAAAACAACUGACUGACUGAACAGUAAAGAGGGCUGAAGAUCACAGAGCAGACAGACCUUGUAGUGGAGAUGGUAAAAUGAUUGAUGGCGUUGUGGAAAAAAUCCCUGAUUGGCUGCGUUUGACUCAAAAACUGGAACAACUGAAGCAUUUUGUGUGGAUUUUCUGCUGUGCAUUUAAACCUCUGCUACAAAGACUUUGUUAUGUAGAGGUUUACAAUCCAACAUUCAACAACGGUGUCACUGAAUUGUAAUAUUAGAUAUUAAUAUAUAUAUUUCCACCAGUUGUGCCUUGAGAUGUGUCAAUAAAUAUAUUAAAAUAUGUCACAAUUUAAGUAAA